AGAGUUUGAUCCUGGCUCAGAUUGAACGCUGGCGGCAGGCCUAACACAUGCAAGUCGAGCGGAUGAAGAGAGCUUGCUCUCUGAUUCAGCGGCGGACGGGUGAGUAAUGCCUAGGAAUCUGCCUGAUAGUGGGGGACAACGUUUCGAAAGGAACGCUAAUACCGCAUACGUCCUACGGGAGAAAGCAGGGGACCUUCGGGCCUUGCGCUAUCAGAUGAGCCUAGGUCGGAUUAGCUAGUUGGUGAGGUAAAGGCUCACCAAGGCGACGAUCCGUAACUGGUCUGAGAGGAUGAUCAGUCACACUGGAACUGAGACACGGUCCAGACUCCUACGGGAGGCAGCAGUGGGGAAUAUUGGACAAUGGGCGAAAGCCUGAUCCAGCCAUGCCGCGUGUGUGAAGAAGGUCUUCGGAUUGUAAAGCACUUUAAGUUGGGAGGAAGGGCAGUAAGUUAAUACCUUGCUGUUUUGACGUUACCGGCAGAAUAAGCACCGGCUAACUUCGUGCCAGCAGCCGCGGUAAUACGAAGGGUGCAAGCGUUAAUCGGAAUUACUGGGCGUAAAGCGCGCGUAGGUGGUUCGUUAAGUUGGAUGUGAAAGCCCCGGGCUCAACCUGGGAACUGCAUCCAAAACUGGCGAGCUAGAGUAUGGCAGAGGGUGGUGGAAUUUCCUGUGUAGCGGUGAAAUGCGUAGAUAUAGGAAGGAACACCAGUGGCGAAGGCGACCACCUGGGCUAAUACUGACACUGAGGUGCGAAAGCGUGGGGAGCAAACAGGAUUAGAUAC
rnacentral:rRNA from 1 species